ensembl:lncRNA
AUGAAGGUUAAACUUCAACCCGACGCGGAUUCGCAGACACAGAGUUGCUCCAACAGUGAUGAGGAGGGAACAAACAGCCUCAGCGACCAGUAUAUCGUUGUCAAGCUGGAAGAUGAAGACCCAGAAACCGAGAUGGACCUGAGUAUAUUCGCUCCUGUCGAGUCCUCGGAGUGUGAGGAGGAAGAGGAGGAUGAAGAUGAAAACGACGAUGAGCUUUCAGAGUCCUCCAGUGUUUGUACCUGGAGAAGGAAACACGCCAGAGAGCGAGAUAACCGGGAGGACCCAGUGCCGCUUGAGAAACAGUCUUCCAGGAUAAGUUUAAAAGGACGGCGAAAGAGCCGACAGACCUUUCUGGCUGAGCAGAGACACAAGCAGAGUCUGGACUGUAGUGCUGCAAACAGGGACGUGAAUGUCGGACUCCCAUCUGAGAAUCACACGUUUUACCAAGCUGCGCCUCCAUUUGAUUCAGCCUGUGGAGGUCCUGUAGAGACGUCUGGACUGGACACAGCAAUCAGCCCUUUAGCUGCCAUGGAGCCUCCUGUAUUUCCAAACGCACCAGUACAGAGCACAUCUGUCGUCGCGGAGGACCAGCAGAAUAUACUACUUGAGGUCCUGAACCAUUGUAGGUUCCUGCAUGCAGCAGUGCAGAGGCUUGAACAGAAGAUUGACAGACAGAUGUCAAAUGAGCCAUUAUAUGAAAGAAGCUCAGCGACGCUGAAGAAUGGUCCAAAGAGAAGGGCGUCUCUGCGUGUUGAAGAAAGGCAGCUGUCCUGGCCUUUGGCCCAGAGACUUGAUCCACCAGACCAGAGAAACCCACGCUGGAUCCCUCCCUGGAAACGAGGGCUGGACAGGGCAGACCUUCAGCAAGCUGACAACAGCAGCCCUCAGCCGGGCAAACCUCCUGGCGGCGGACGAGGCAGAGGCAGGGGCAGGGGCAGAGGCAGAGGACGGGGGCGACGGGGGCGCGGUAGCGGAUCCCAGCAUCAGUUUCAAACUCCUGAUCCUGCUUCACUCAUGUCAAAGCCCAAUGGAGAAGAGGUCUGCACUGCAUCCACAGAUGACCCACAGCCGCCCCAGGUGGACGGGGAGGGUGUUGAACUGGAGAUGAUGCCCAACAGUAAAGAGGCCACACUUGAGGUUCAGGAUGACAAUAAAGUAAUGAUCGGAAGCCCCUUGAGGAAAGUGUGGAUCCCGCUGUCUGUGUACAAGGAGGUGGUGUUUAAGCAGGUGGAGCCCCAGAAGGCUGUAGUGCCUGUGCUUCACGCGCUCUUCCCCAUCAGCACUCUGUCCUGCAGUGCGGUCACAGGAAACCCUGCAAAAGGCAUCCAGCAACUCGACCCCAACAAAAUAGAAGCCCUUCGAGAGUUUCUUGCGGAGAUGUACCCACAGUUUGACGUCGGUGUGAGGGGCGUGACGUGGGCACAGUGUCUUGGAGUGAUAAACAACAUCAACAAAGACCUAAAGAAACAAGCGGAAAAAACAUCACAUCUGCCAACAGAGGGCGGUUACACAAGAAAUGAUUGUUCAUACUCUUGAGGAUCUGACACUCGUACUCGAUGUGCAACAACGUAACCAGUUUUAUUCACUUCACUGAUACAGUGUUCAUAACUGAAGUGCAAGUCCCUGUUUUGACAACAGCUGUCUUUUGUUCUCUCUUCUAUAGCUGCUAAGUUUCAAUGGAGAGAAAGGUUUUGGAUGUGUAAUAUAUUAACAAUUCUUUUGUUCUUAAUAAAGCCUUAUAUUAACUUUUAAUUUUUGUUUAA